rnacentral:rRNA from 1 species
UACGUAGGGCCCGAGCGUUGUCCGGAAUUACUGGGCGUAAAGAGCUCGUAGGUGGUUUGUCACGUUGUUCGUGAAAACUCACAGCUUAACUGUGGGCGUGCGGGCGAUACGGGCAGACUAGAGUACUGCAGGGGAGACUGGAAUUCCUGGUGUAGCGGUGGAAUGCGCAGAUAUCAGGAGGAACACCCGUGGCUAAGGCGGCUCUCUAGUACGGUACUGACGCUGAGACGCGAAAGCGUGGGGAGCGAACAGG